GACGUAGGGCGCGAGCGUUGUCCGGAUUUAUUGGGCGUAAAGAGCUCGUAGGCGGCUUGUCGCGUCGUUCGUGAAAACUUGGGGCUCAACUCCAAGCUUGCGGUCGAUACGGGCAGACUAGAGUUCGGUAGGGGAGACUGGAAUUCCUGGUGUAGCGGUGAAAUGCGCAGAUAUCAGGAGGAACACCGGUGGCGAAGGCGGGUCUCUGGGCCGAUACUGACGCUGAGGAGCGAAAGCGUGGGGAGCGAACAGG
rnacentral:rRNA from 1 species